AAUCCAUGAUGUGAGCAUUUUUGUAUUAGCAUUUUAAAACAGUCCCAAGCUUCAUGAAAGCUCUCUCCUUCUAACUAUUUAAAUAUCGUGAUCUCCUUCCUUAGUUG
rfam:Gossypium hirsutum cultivar TM-1 chromosome 25, whole genome shotgun sequence